AGGACGAACGCUGGCGGCGUGCUUAACACAUGCAAGUCGAGCGGUGAUCCUCCUUCGGGAGGUGAUCAGCGGCGAACGGGUGAGUAACACGUGGGCAACCUGCCCCUCACACUGGGAUAAUCUCGGGAAACCGGGGCUAAUACCGGAUACGACCUCGAGCGGCAUCUCUUGAGGUGGAAAGCUCCGACGGUGAGGGAUGGGCCCGCGGCCUAUCAGCUUGUUGGUGGGUAAUGGCCUACCAAGGCGACGACGGGUA
rnacentral:rRNA from 1 species